rnacentral:tRNA from 1 species
GGGAUUGUGGCUCAGUGGCAGAGCACUUGCCUCAUACAUAUGAGCACUGGGUUCCAUACUCAGCAUCACA